UAUCAGUUAUAGACUACGCAUCAUGAUAAGAUAGUUGCAGAUUUCAGCCAGCAGGUGAUGAGUUCUCCUACUCCGGGAACUCCAGAUAGUUUAUUUGUUUUCAUGUGUAUUGAUUAAUGGUAGUUGGAGGCAUGUCCCAGCUAUCUAUAGUCAGUAUAGUAGAGGUUUUAUAGAUGUCAGUCAGAGUCAAUCAUGUAGUUCUAAUUUCAUCCUUCAGAUUUAACAGAUUAUAAAGCUUUAUCAGUAUUGUAUCUAUUUUAGAUUUUUAGUAUGAUUAUGUUUUCGCAUAGC
rnacentral:lncRNA from 1 species